CAGACAAGACAGUGACAGUGAGACGAGACUGGGCAUGGCCACUCCCAUGCAAAGGGCCAAGGACCUGGUAGGGGAGAAGGCUGGGUCCUGGAGCUCGGGGCAGCUACUCUGCCCACUGCCCCCCCACUUCCAGAUACACAGUCCCCCAUUCUGCCUCCACCUCUCCUGGAUGCCUCUGGUCUGACCUAUCUUGAGCCCAAGGGGCCUCUAAGUUCCUCCAAAUCCCAUCCUUCUCCAAGAGAUCAGAAGAGCA